UGGGGAAUAUUGGACAAUGGGGGCAACCCUGAUCCAGCAAUGCCGCGUGUGUGAAGAAGGCCUGCGGGUUGUAAAGCACUUUCAGUAGAGAAGAAAAAACCAGGGGUUAAUACCCUCCGGUCUUGACGUAACCUACAGAAGAAGCACCGGCUAACUCCGUGCCAGCAGCCGCGGUAAUACGGAGGGUGCAAGCGUUAAUCGGAAUUACUGGGCGUAAAGCGCGCGUAGGCGGCUUGGUCAGUCGGAUGUGAAAGCCCCGGGCUUAACCUGGGAAUUGCAUUCGAUACUGCCUGGCUAGAAUGUGGGAGAGGGAAGUGGAAUUUCCGGUGUAGCGGUGAAAUGCGUAGAUAUCGGAAGGAACACCAGUGGCGAAGGCGGCUUCCUGGCCCAACAUUGACGCUAAGGUGCGAAAGCGUGGGUAGCGAACAGG
rnacentral:rRNA from 1 species